rnacentral:rRNA from 1 species
CGCGGCCUAUCAGCUUGUUGGUGAGGUAACGGCUCACCAAGGCAUCGACGGGUAGCUGGUCUGAGAGGACGAUCAGCCACACUGGGACUGAGACACGGCCCAGACUCCUGCGGGAGGCAGCAGUGGGGAAUCUUGCGCAAUGGGCGAAAGCCUGACGCAGCAACGCCGCGUGGGGGAUGAAGGCUCUCGGGUUGUAAACCCCUUUCAGCAGGGACGAAAUUGACGGUACCUGCAGAAGAAGCCCCGGCCAACUACGUGCCAGCAGCCGCGGUAACACGUAGGGGGCGAGCGUUGUCCGGAAUUAUUGGGCGUAAAGAGCUCGUAGGCGGUUUGGUAAGUCAGAUGUGAAAGGUUGGGGCUCAACCCUAAGAUUGCAUCCGAUACUGCUAUGACUAGAGUCCGGUAGAGGAGUGUGGAAUUCCUGGUGUAGCGGUGAAAUGCGCAGAUAUCAGGAGGAACACCGACGGCGAAGGCAGCACUCUGGGCCGGUACUGACGCUGAGGAGCGAAAGCGUGGGUAGCAAACAGGAUUAGAUACCCUGGUAGUCCACGCCGUAAACGUUGGGCACUAGGUGUGGGGCCUUAUCAACGGGUUCCGUGCCGUAGCUAACGCAUUAAGUGCCCCGCCUGGGGAGUACGG